rnacentral:rRNA from 1 species
CCUACGGGAGACUGCAGUGGGGAAUAUUGCGCAAUGGGCGAAACCCUGAAGCAGCAACGCCGCGUGGAGGAUGAAGGUUUUCGGAUUGUAAACUCCUUUUGUUAGAGAAGAUAAUGACGGUAUCUAACGAAUAAGCACCGGCUAACUCCGUGCCAGCAGCCGCGGUAAUACGGAGGGUGCAAGCGUUACUCGGAAUCACUGGGCGGAAAGAGCGCGUAGGCGGGAUAGCAAGUCAGAUGUGAAAUCCUAUGGCUUAACCAUAGAACUGCAUUUGAAACUGUUAUUCUAGAGUAUGGGAGAGGUAGGUGGAAUUCUUGGUGUAGGGGUAAAAUCCGUAGAGAUCAAGAGGAAUACUCAUUGCGAAGGCGACCUGCUAGAACAUAACUGACGCUGAUGCGCGAAAGCGUGGGGAGCAAACAGGAUUAGAUACCCUUGUAGUC